CGUGACCUUUGAGUCAGUGGCCCAAACCAUGAAGUCGUCGAUGUCGGAGAGAGUCAUUGGUCGGAGAUGGAUUUUCUCCGGAAGUGAGGUGAAGGAAGGAAACAGAACGUUCCUUGUUGCUUCGAACGGUCAAAUACGCAACAAUAAGGUCUUGUUGAAUGGAAGGUGUGAAAAAAGAGGUUUUACGAGGAGAACCGUAGAAUCUCCAUCUUCAGCUUCAGUUUCCUGCAAGCCCAAAACCUGUGAAAGAAUCUGGAAAUGUCCACCAUGAUAAAGUUAGUAGAGAUGGUAAAGACAACAAUAGUGGAUAGAAGCCAUAUGUGAAAUGGAAUGAUGUUGCUGGACUUGAUGGAGCUAAAACAGCUUUACUGCAGAUGGUGAUACUACCGAGAGUACUCUUCAUACAAAUGACUUAUACGGUUAUACCUGGACUUGAUGGAGCUAAACAAGCUUUAUGUUGUAGGAUGUCGUCUCUCAUAUAAAUGUCAAAACCUUGCAACUGCAGCAGCGAGACAUUCUCUGCUCUCCAUGAUCAUAUAAAGCUUGCUCUCAAGUCUUCAGAAUCUUAUACAUUUCUAACUUGUUGUUCUGUUUUUUUUUCUUCCAGGUUUUGGAUAUGUUUAUAUCAAUCAAUGAUGGCUUUGUACUUAACAUAUUAUAAUUUUCAAAAUAAUUUUUCUAAAAAAUUAAAAAC